GAUCUCUCGUUCAAAAUUUCCUUCCCACUCUCCGGAAUUAUCUUAAGUUCUUUACAGCAGAAGUUAUUUCUUUCACUUCCGCUCUGAAGCCCAAAAGAGGGAGGAGUCCUCCGAGUCCAAGAUUCAGUCUUGGCGCUACCGAGUUAUCCCUCCGGCCUCCGCCGCUUUCCGAUCUAGGGUUCCGCCGACGAGAUGGCGAGCCCGCGGACGAGGGCCUCGCCGCUGGCCACUGGUGCCACCCGAUCGCCGGUUCCGAGGGUUGCCGGUGCUUCCCCGCCGGCCACCGGCGGGACCCCGCUGGGGGACGAGGCUAUCUGGAGGCGGCUCCGGGAGGCGGGGUUCGAUGAGGAGUCUGUGAAGAGGAGGGACAAGGCCGCCCUCAUUGCUUACAUCUCCAAGCUCGAAGCCGAGAUAUAUGACUAUCAACAUCACAUGGGGCUUCUUAUAUUGGAGAGGAAGGAAUGGACAUCCAAAUACGAACAAGUUAAAACAUCUGCUGAGUCUGCUGAGGUUGUAUAUAAGCGUGAGAAAGCUGCACAAUUAUCUGCUCUAGCUGAAGCAAGGCAACGAGAAGAGAGCCUAAAGAAAGCUUUAGGCAUUGAGAAAGAAUGUGUUGCAAAUAUUGAGAAGGCCUUGCAUGAUAUGCGUGCUGAAUCUGCUGAAACAAAACUUGCAUAUGAGAACAAACUGGCUGAAGCUCGUCAAUUGAUGGAAGCUGCACAACAGAAAUUUGAUGAGGCAGAAAGAAAGCUGCUUGCUUCAGAAUCUUUGCAUGCAGAGGCCAGCCGGAGCCGUAAUACUGCAUUAAGAAACUUACAGGAUGUUGAAGCACGUGAAGAUGAACUUAGGAGGGAUCGUAUUUCUUUUAAGUCUGAAUGUGAUGCGAAGGAACAAGAAAUCAACCGUGAAAGGCAAUCUCUAUAUGAUAGGCAGAAAAUUCUGAAUGAGGAACAAGAGAGGUUGAUAGCAGCACAGACCUUAUUAAAUCAGAGGGAGGAAUAUAUCUUUGAAAGAUCGAAAGAAUUAAGCUGCUUUGAAAAGGAACUGGAAGAAGCAAGAAGAAAUCUUGAAGAAAAACAUAGAGCUCUGAAGGAAGAAAACUCCAAUUUGGAUCUAAAAAUAGCUGGUCUUGCAAAUAGGGAGGAGUCUGUGAUCAAGAGGGAAUCUUUGCUUGAUAAAAGAGAGCGUGAGUUGCUAAUUUUACAAGAAAAGAUUGCCUGCAAAGAACAUGAUGAGAUACAAAGACUUAUGGAUGAACAUCAGUCUGCCCUGCAAAGGAAGAGGAGUGAAUUUGAAGCUGAAUUGGAACAGAGACGCAUGAUGUUAGAUGAUGAGAUGGAGGCCAAACAAAUGGCUUAUGAGAUUAGGGAGGCUGAUCUCAAUGACAGAGAAAAUGCUAUUCGGGAAAGAGAACAUGCUAUUAAGCUUGAGUCGAGUGCCUUAGCAGAAAAGGAAGAGGAUGUAGUGAAAAAAUUGAAAUUACUGGAUGAGAGAGAACAAAAGCUACAUUUUACCCAAAAAGCAGCAGAAAUCGAGAUGCAAAACAUGCAGAAUGAAAGAGCACAGAUACUGAAGAUGAAACGAAACGUUGAGAAUUCUAAAUCUUCCCUGGAAGAUGAGAAGAAAGAAAUUCAGUGUGCACAGGAGAAACUAGAGCUCACUGUAGCUGAGAGAAAUGAGUUGCUUGUUCUGGAAAGAAAACUUCAAGAAGAAAUUGAUAAUCUUAGAACCCAAAAGAUGGAACUGACAGCUGAAGCUGAUAAAUUGAAGGCAGAAAAGGAGAAGUUUGAGAUUGAGUGGGAGCUAAUGGAUGAAAAAAGAGAAGAGUUGCGGAAAGAAGCAGAACGGGUUGCUGAAGAGAGAAAAGCAGUGGACCAGUAUCUUAAAAAUGAACAUGAUAGCAUUAAAUUGGAGAAGGAAAAUUUUCGCAAUCAGUUCAAGAGUGAUGUUGAGUCCUUGGCUCGUGAGCGGGAGGAAUUCUUAAGCAAGAUGGAGCGUGAGCAUUUAGAUUGGUUCAGCAAGAUUCAGCAAGAAAGAGAGGAUUUUGUGAGGGACAUUAUGAUUCAGAAGAAGGAAUUAGAAAAUUGUAUGGAUAAAAGACGAGAGGAAAUUGAAACAUAUUUAAAAGAAAAGGAGGAAGCAUUUGAAAAAGAAAAGGCCAGAGAACUCCAGCAUAUAGGUUCUCAAAAGGAAUUGAUUGCCAAGGAGUUGGAACAUGUUGCAUCUGAGAUGCAAAAGCUUAAUGAUGAGCGAAUGGAGAUUGCUCUGGACCGUGAGAGGAGGGAGAAAGAGUGUUCUGAGAUAAAGAGCUCCAUUGAAGCACUCAAUAUUCAACGGGAGAAGCUACAGAAGCAAAGGGAAUUGUUGCAUUCAGAUAGAGAAGAAAUUUAUGAAGAGAUUCAACGUCUUAAAAAAUUGGAACAUUUGGACAUUGAAUCUGAAAAUAGGGCUCUAUCUGAGACACCUAAUACAUGGAGGCUUUCUUGGAAAACAAACACAAAUGCUGAUGCUGCACCUGAUAUUGAUGAUCCAAUUGAACAGAAGAUCACUGCCAAUGGUGGUUCUAAUCUAAAGUUGCUUUCUGAGAAGACCUCUGAUGCUUCACCUCGAACAUCCACUACUCUAUCCUGGGUCAGGAAAUGUGCCGAGGUGAUAUUCAAGCUUUCUCCAGAAAAAAAUAUAGAAUAUGUUGAAUACAAAAACUCAGCCAAGUCUGCAGGAGUGUCUGAGGGAAAUGGUUACAGCUCUCCAAAGGCUGGGUCUCAUAGGAACAAAAACUCUGGAGAUGGUAAAAGAAUUAGCUUGUCAAAAUGGAACGACCUUCAAAUUCCAUCUGUUGCAUCCGAGGUAAUGGAGUCAAAAGGUCAUGAGAGAAGAGGAAGAAGGGAGACCCAGUCUGUGAGGUCUGAUUCACCAUAUGUGGAAAGAAAUCAAGGCUUGUGCAAUGCUGAAAUUGAAGGUAACAGAGAGAAGGAACUUAUCGAAGAUUCUGAGAAAUCCAGAAAUGCCGACGGUGCAUUGCCAUUGGGAAGAAAAAGGCUUCACAACACAUUAUCUCAUGAGCAUGCUGAUAUGCAGUUAGAACCCAGUCGGAAGCACCAGAGGAAAACAAGGCAGAACGGAAGUGCUGAUGUGGAAGGAGUCACUUCUGACUGCUUGCAUGCAGUGCAAAUGCCAAACUCAGAUGAUUGUGAUCCAUCAUCACUCAAUCCCACCGCAGGAUGUGAAGAACUGCCAGUUGGUUGCAAAGAUCAAGAAUAUGAAAAUCCUGAAGUUUCAAUUUCAAAGACACCAGAAGUUUCAAAGGACACAUCUACAAUAGUACGUCCUCAUAUUCUUGAAAAUGGAAAUUCACAUGGAUCAGAAAAUUCUUCGCUUCUUGGAGAUGGUAUUUUGUUAUAUGGUUCAAAUUUUCAUAAAAUGCUGAAAAAGCAAGAAAAUGUAGGAGACCAAGAGAUCUUUGAGGCUGAAGAACCAUCAAAGGAGAUUACUACACCUACAAUGGAACAAACUGCUGAUGAUGGUGGCAAAAUUAAAGAGCAGGAUGGAUGCAACCAAGAUGGUGAUGAUGAAGUUGAGGAUGAGGAUGAUGAUAGGUUAUCUAUGAAAGAGAAGCUAUGGAAAUUUAUCAUUACCUGAGUAUGUAGAUUACUUGUAUCAUAGAUGUUAGAGUUCAUUACACCUGCAUUCUGAUUUCUUAAUGCUUCUUAUAUAGUUGUUGCUUUCGCCUAGCUUUUUUUCUAUAACCAAACCACCCGUAGGAGAUUUCAGAAUCAUCUGGCUUCUAACGUGGUGUUGGUUGUGGCACAGAAGAUUGAAGCACAUGCGUUGGAUCUCUAAGCGGUAGCUUUCUAAUCAGCGCAUGUGUGCAGAAUCUGUAAGCAUGUUUCCACCUUCUUCAUACAAUGUAAGGAAUGCAUUUGAGACUUUGAGUGAUGAAUUAGUGCAUACAAGUGUAUUUUGAAAGUUCUACGUGUACGAGUUCUGAUCUCCUUGUUGUGUGGACGGAGAUUUUAGUGUGUAGAUAUCUCUGGUUGAGAUUUACUUAUGUGAUCUCUCUUUACUGUGGGAGACAAAUAGCGGGAUGGUGAAAAAUCGUACUCCCGGAAGAUAGAGAAUGGUUGAAGAGAUGGGUGUGUCGGUAUCAGUUGCCUUGAAUCUUGAUGGCGAAGGCUCGUGGAAUGAUGAGGGGAGAAAAGUUAACGUCGGAUUCGGAAUAAUGUUAUUGUUGACCUCAUUAGAGUUUUCUUUUUUAUCUUUCCUUUCGUUUUUUUUUAAACCUUUUUUUAUCUUAACCGUGUAUGGACAGAGGUCUUUUGCCAGAACGUACUUUCCUUCAAUGUAGUCAGAAAUUUGUUAAUGGUUCAUGUUUAAGGGCUUUUCUGGC